GUGCUUGCUUCAGCAGCACAUAUACUAAAGUUGGAUACAGAGAAGAUUAGUACGGCCCCUGUGCAAGGAUGACACGCAACUUCAUGAAGUGUUCCAUAUUUUU
rnacentral:snRNA from 1 species